rnacentral:rRNA from 1 species
GAUGAACGCUGGCGGCGUGCCUAAUACAUGCAAGUCGAGCGAACAGACGAGGAGCUUGCUCCUCUGACGUUAGCGGCGGACGGGUGAGUAACACGUGGAUAACCUACCUAUAAGACUGGGAUAACUUCGGGAAACCGGAGCUAAUACCGGAUAAUAUAUUGAACCGCAUGGUUCAAUAGUGAAAGACGGUUUUGCUGUCACUUAUAGAUGGAUCCGCGCCGCAUUAGCUAGUUGGUAAGGUAACGGCUUACCAAGGCAACGAUGCGUAGCCGACCUGAGAGGGUGAUAGGCCACACUGGAACUGAGACACGGUCCAGACUCCUACGGGAGGCAGCAGUAGGGAAUCUUCCGCAAUGGGCGAAAGCCUGACGGAGCAACGCCGAGUGAGUGAUGAAGGUCUUCGGAUCGUAAAACUCUGUUAUUAGGGAAGAACAAAUGUGUAAGUAACUAUGCACGUCUUGACGGUACCUAAUCAGAAAGCCACGGCUAACUACGUG